UACGAGGGAUGCAAGCGUUAUCCGGAAUUAUUGGGCGUAAAGAGUUUGUAGGCGGUCAAGUGUGUUUAAUGUUAAAAGUUAAAGCUUAACUUUGAAACUGCGUUAAAAACUGCUUGUCUUGAGUAUGGUAGGGGUAAAGGGAAUUCCCAGUGUAGCGGUGAAAUGCGUAGAUAUUGGGAAGAACACUAAACAGCGAAGGCACUUUACUAGGCUAAUACUGACGCUGAGAAACGAAAGGUAAGGUAGCGAAACGG
rnacentral:rRNA from 1 species